CUUUCCCGCCCCUUGACACAAGAUGGCGCUGCUGCACUGCUCUGAAAUGUCCCACAAGAAACUGAAGGCCUACACGACUCUUUGCUACUCUGGAAAAGAGAUGAAACACUGAUUUCCUGAGAGCACUCAUGAAUUCUGGGGUCAUUGCGUUGCCUGAUGUCGUCCGAGAGCACAGAGAUUUCUGCCCACUGGGAGCCCAACUACCCCCGCAGUAUUGGAACAUGACAAGAAGUCUCUUUGGAGCACCUUGAAGCUUACACAUGGCAGGUCGUGACCUGCUUCCUGUGCUGCUGCUCUCCCCAGACCUCGGCUGGCAGAGCUGAAACGGCAGAGCCACACUGAGUCUCAUCACCAGCUUGUACUGCCUGUGCCAGCUGAAGGUGUUAUUGAGGAUACACAGAAUUCACACUAUAAUGAGCAGUGACAGGAUGUCACCCACUCUGCCACAGAUCAACCCCCAGCACCCACCUGCACCCAUCCAGCUGAGUCCGCCUGUUUGUGUGAUGUCACCGCACCGAGUUGUUGUCUCUGUAGAGCCGAUAGGCCUGUUGACGGUGUUGCAACAAGGAGGCAACACUCUGUCUCCUUGUUCCCCGCCUUGGCCUGAUAAGACUGAGUUGUCCUCUCAGUUUUACCACAGUUGUUCCAUCAUUUGGUGUUUUCCUCCCUCUGAUACCUCUGAUCUUCUUGGAAGUGAGAGCUGCCCUCUUCAAGUGGCCUUUGGGCUGUGUUUGAUCACUGUUUGAGUUAUAGUUGUCUCCGUGAGUCAUAACUCAGACGCCAGACUCGGAUGUCAACAUAACAUAUGUUGUUUUCCAGCCCCGUUACCACACAUUGUGUGUGAGUAGAGUACAGGGUGAUGUAGGAAAGAGUAAGGUUCUCGAGCUUUUUGGCUUUGGAUAAAAGAUGGGAUAAAAUAUUGCUACAGGAAAAUACUGUAAUACACCUUCUGAUCAAUGCUUUUUCCUUAAAUGCUGGUCCUAAAUAUUGAUAUUUUUAUUCACACAUACAGACUGUUUAAACAUUUCAUGUUACCAGAGUCACGUCUUCAUGACUCCUUGUGGUGUACACUUCUGUAAACUCAAUUUACACAUAUUGAAAAGUGAGGCAUAGUUGUGUCCUUUGUUUAAAGAAAUGUUCUGCUUUCUGCCAGUUUAGAGAUAUUUCAUGUUGUAAUGAUGCAUGUGCAUCCUCAGGCAUCGUCACACAUACGAUCUGAUUUAACAGUGCACUGAUUUGGUUUAGCAACAGGAUAGACUGAUGUAUAGAAUCAUUUUUCAGCCUAUUGUUUUUAAAUGGAGAGACUUUAAAUGGCCUGUUGGAUGGCAGAAGUUGGUGUUGUCCAUUCUCCAAAUGAUUGUCUUGCUAUCUGUCAAGUAUUGCAGAAUCGCGUAUUGUGAUAUCAUUGUGGUCACAGGUCGUAUAUCAUAAGUUCUUCUGUGAUUCCCGCCACUCCUUUGGAGAUCUCUAGAUUAAACAAUUUGUCACUUGGGAAAUAAGUUGCAAGCAGAUCAACCAAAGACUGAUCUAAUUGUUUCAUGUUUGUGGUCUGAAGUAUUAUAAAGUGGAAUCAGACAACCUUCCAGCCCCUAGCGUUUCCAAGUGAUAUUAUUAGUUGGCGCCGCUGGAGACAACUGGAUUGUUUUCCAUUUUCCUCAGUGUAGCAUCCAACAACACAGGACAAAUUGCAAGUUUAGUCAUUCAUGUAAUGGAGACGUAAAAGCAGAUGGAAAUGGUGCCGGGCUGCCAGCCUGACUUCAUUUCCUCAGGAGAUUUCUGCGUUUGCAGUUGCGUUUGAACUGCGCAGUGCAAGUGAGGUUUAUGGGGAACCGAUCCCAUCACCAACAGUGUCAUCAUUCUAUUGCCAUAAUAACAUCAGAAAUAAAUAAUUUGUUUCCAGCUAAACAAAGAUUGACAAAUGUCCUAUAACAGAUCUUUCACUCCGUUCUUUGACCCCUCAGAUUCAGGAUGUUUCUUCAAAGGACCAUUUCAAAAAACCUUUGUUGUGCACACUGUAGUCUUUAUGGUCGUGUAAAAUACGGUUCUCUGUUGUACUUUGGGAAAUGUAUUACAUUUUCCAAGCCAACAGCCUCGCCUUUGCAGACCUUAUUUUAUUAUACCUCUGUGUUUCUUAUACAAUAUGUGAACUGUAUAGAGCCGGCUAUGUGGAGACUGAACAGCGGGAGUUCAAGCAAGGUUCACACGUAUGGCUAACUUGUUCCAAAUGAGUGUGAGGAAUGCCUGCGUCCUCGCUCGCCUUAUUAACCAAACAUCACCUUGUCGGACUCUUACACGCCUGUUCGGAGCUCCUCCCUGUGCCACACAUAAUGAGAUGAGUAUCUCAAAUCAGCUUUCUUUAAUUAAAGUUACAACACAAACUAAGCUUUUCGCCAUUCUCCUCGUAAGAGUGCAUUUUAUACGCUCUCUCUCUAUCGUGAUAGAGUGAUUCCCUUAAGGAAGUGAUUACACAUUUGGAUAAUUCUGAGCAGAUGUGAAAAAUGGCUCAACAAGUUAACAAGGCUGUGGUGGAAGUGCAGACCAUGUCACUGUUGGAGCGGCGUGCUGCGGCACCGAGAAACUGUCUCCAGAGCCUGGAGCCUGCAGUGGAGGUAAAAUAUGAAUGGAUGGAGGAUGAAUUGUUCACUAAUUUUUGGGGGGUGCUUUAUACCCUCGGAAAAAAACUUGCUCCUUGAAAUCUUUGUGUGACAAUUUAUCAUUGUGACGACUGUUCGGCUGCAUGCAAGCAGAUUUUGCAUCCAACACAUUUCACAUUUUUGACGCCAUCAUGGGGGAGGAAAGGCAGCUUGUGAUUCAUGUAUCGGGUGCUCAUGCAGAUGCGAGAUUAUCUGUAAAUACAUCUGUUAUAUAAUCAACGCAGAACGGAACUUGCCCUCAGCAUUAAAAUGCCCACAAAUGGAAAAAAGCUUCAGGAAAAUAUUGUAAUUUGAUUCAUGAAUUUUAUUUUAUUUUUAAAGUUCUGGGGAGCGGGGAUCAUAAGACUGCAGGAGACGCUGUGUUUGACUGUGUUCUGGGGUUUUUUUGAGCAAUAAAUUAAACCUGUAUUUAAAGUCUUUCAUACAUUUCAGUCCCCCUUGAAAACAAAAACAAGCGUAUUGCUUUUUUAUUUCAUGAAAUUUGCAGCAUGAAGACAAUGCAAAAACAGAGGUCUAUCAACUCCAACAGACAUCUUUCAGAAAAAUAUAAUCUAAAUUUAUUUUGCACACCAUUCACUAGAGACAAAAGGCUGAAUUCAACACUCCACCCUCAUUUUGGCGAGAUAAAAGCACUGUUGGAAUUUAAAUACAGUAAAAAAAAAAAAAAAAAAAAAAAAAAAUGUUUACGUGCACUUAAUGCCUGUAUAUCUCGCCUUUGUUCAGCUCAGACAAAGAUAAAGCCCAAAUUGGCGAUGCCUCUCAUCAAAGGUGUUUUCUCUUUGUGCUAGCUGAAUGUUGUGUAUAGA